GUAUUGUCCUCAGCUCAACAAUAUCCUUUUCAUUUGGAUUGUGGUGUGUGGAACUGAACUCAAUACUCCAGGUCAUCUUCCUGGCUCAUUCAACGUGCUAUUGAUCUGUAUCAAGUCAGCAGAGGCUCCUACACGGUUCAGCUUUCCUGUUCAGGGACCUGUCAGUCCAUCAGUUGGGAAGACACCUACUUUAUUGGGACCCCAAGAAAGGCAUAGUCAAACGCUCUUUGAAGAUCUGGCUGCACUCUGACUACGGCGUUGCCUUUAUUUGGCAGCUACCAAAAAAGAACGUGGUGUUAUUUUCCAUGAAGGCGAUUGGUUUAAAAAUGUGCAUCCUUGGUGCAAUGGAAUAUUGUGAAACUGCUGAAAAUGAGUCUCCUCACGAGUAAACAAAAUUGAUGAGACCGCGCUCGUGCACAGGCACACGGCGGGCGGCACAGCUCCCAGCGGUCACCGUUUACUGAACUGCCAGAAGUGGAGCGAUCACAAGCCGAGUCU
rnacentral:lncRNA from 1 species